GUGCCUGUAGCUCAGCCCGGAACAGAGCGAGAGGUUCCUAACCUCUAGGUCCAGGGUUCAAAUCCCUGCAGGCACG
rnacentral:tRNA from 1 species